rnacentral:tRNA from 1 species
GGAAAGGUGGCCGAGCGGUUUAAGGCGCAGUCCUGGAAAGACUGUAUACCCUAAAGGUAUCGAGGGUUCGAAUCCCUCCCUUUCCG